GAAUUUAAUUAAAUUGCCUAAUCUACUUCCAGGGAGUGGCCUAGAAACUGGUUAGAAAAAAAAGGGCCUACUUUCUCCUAAAUAGCUGGGGCCAGUGAAUUUUACAGUAACUUGGUUUGGCUUUUCCUUAAACAGGUCCCAAAUUAGCAUUGUGUGGUGCAAUGGAGAGAGUGUAGGUAGGACCCAGAGUCAGGAAGACUUGAGUUCAAAUCCUGUUAUCAGACACUAAGUAGCUUUAUGGCUUUGGGCAAGCCCCUCAUCUCUCUAUGCUUCAAUGUCCUUUUCUGUAAAAUGGAGGUGAGAGCACCUACCUCACAGAAUUGUUGUGAGGAUCAAAUGAGGUAACAUAUGUAGAAUGCUUCAUAAACUUUAAGGCACUAUAUAACUGAUUGUUGUCAUUAUUAUUAGUGGGAAUUCGAUUGGAGGAGGUAAGAAUCAAGUGAGUCAAAGUGAUGAAAGAUACCAAAAUGAUCCUUCAGUGCCAAGGACCAGCGUCAACCUAAGGAAUAUGUGAUGCAGAAGAUACUACAUUUCUUGCGUUCUCAAUUGAACACUAAAUGUUGCUGGAAGACUGAAGAGGAACAUAAAAUCAGCAAUCAGGCAGUACGUCAACAAAUAUUUAUUAAGCACCUACUAGAUGACAACAACUGUACUGAGUACUGGACUUGGAAACAGACUGGAUAUGGGGAAAGGAGGGUGAGAGAAAAUGAGGAGUAAAGAAUGAUACUUAGGCUGGAACCUGGCUGACUGGGAGGAUGGGAGAGCCUUUGACAGCGAGAGGAAGUCAAAAAGACUGAAGAAUUUGGGGGAGGAGAAAGAAGAGAGGGGGAGAGAAUAAGUUCAGUUUUUAUCCAGGAGACAAGAGGGGGCCAGAUUUUUGAGGAGGAGAAUGACAUGAUUAAACCUGUACUUUAGGAAGAAUAAUCUGUUUUGGACGCGUUGAGUUUGCGAGGCCUCUGUAGCAUCCAAUUCAAGGUGUCCAAAAGGCAGUUGAAGAUGUAAGAUGGGAGUUCAAAAGAUAUGUUAGGGCUGGGUAAACAGAUCUAAGAAUUAUCUGUAUAGACAUGGUGGGGGGGUGAGGGUUGAGGAGAUCACCAAGUGAAAUAAGAUAGGAGAAGAAAAGAACACCCAGGACAGAGCCUUUAGGACACUUAUGGGCAGUAUGCAUGACCUGGAUGAAGAUUCACCAAAGGAGAAUGAGGAAUGGUAUGGGAGGUAAAGGAGAACUACGAGAGAACAAUGUCAUGAGCCCCAAGAAAGGAGAGAAUGUCCAGUGGAAGACAGUCAGCUGUGUCCAAGGCUGCAGAGAGAUCAGAAGGAUGAGGACUGGGGAGGGGAAAGGGAAGCUAGUGGUAAAAAGUGGGUAGAAAGGAGGAAGGGUGAGAGAUUGUGGAUGGAACAGCAUGGCUUGGAGGGUGCCCUAGAAAUACAUCCCCAAAUGGACCAGGAACCUGGCUAGAUAAGGUGAAAGCUCACCAGUCAGAGCCCAGGGCCCCAAGAAUAGGAGUCUGAGUUCCAGUGGGAGAAGGCCAGAGUGCAGGUAGUGUGGCUUAGACAUGGCCCAGAAGUGAAGGUGGGAGUUGACCUCACUCUUCUUGAUAAAACCAUAAUGAUAGCAGGCAUUCAUAUAGAGCUUUAAAGAUUGCAAACCAUUUUUACAUAUAUUACUUCAUUUGAUCCACACAGCACCUGUAUGAGGUAGGUACUAUUAUUAGCCCCAUUUUAUGGAGGAGGAAGCUAAGGUCUGUGGUACAAUGUAAGGGCAGGGACUGUUUUCAGUUAUCUUGUUUUCCUAGCACUUUGCACAGUGCCUGGCAUAUAGUAGGUGCUUAAUAAAUGUUUCUUGACUAAGAUUGAGAGAGGUUAA
rnacentral:lncRNA from 1 species